rnacentral:rRNA from 1 species
UUCGAUUGGAUUAGGCAUGCAAGUCGUGCGGAAAGGCUCCUUCGGGAGUACUCGAGCGGCGAAAGGGAGAGUAACGCGUGGACUAUCUACCCCUCGGUCCGGGAUAGCGGCGGGAAACUGCCGGUAAUACCGGAUAACAUCUCUGGAUCAAAGGUGUGAUUCCGCCGGGGGAUGAGUCCGCGUCCUAUUAGCUUGUUGGUGGGGUAAUGGCCUACCAAGGCUUUGAUGGGUACCGGGUGUGAGAGCAUGGCCCGGCUCACUGGGACUGAGACACUGCCCAGACACCUACGGGUGGCUGCAGUCGAGAAUCUUCGGCAAUGGGCGCAAGCCUGACCGAGCGACGCCGCGUGCGGGAUGAAGGCCUUCGGGUUGUAAACCGCUGUCAGAGGGGAGGAAAUGCAUGAGGGUACUCUCUCAUGUUUGACCUAUCCUCAGAGGAAGUACGGGCUAAGUUCGUGCCAGCAGCCGCGGUAAUACGAACCGUACGAACGUUAUUCGGAAUCACUGGGCUUAAAGAGUGCGUAGGCGGCUUGGCAAGUUGGGUGUGAAAUCCCUCGGCUCAACCGAGGAAUUGCGCUCAAAACUGCUAAGCUUGAGGAAGAUAGGGGUGAGCGGAACUAAUGGUGGAGCGGUGAAAUGCGUUGAUAUCAUUAGGAACACCGGAGGCGAAAGCGGCUCACCGGGUCUUUUCUGACGCUGAGGCACGAAAGCUAGGGGAGCGAACGGGAUUAGAUACCCCGGUAGUCCUAGCUGUAAACGAUGAGCACUGGGUCGAGGGGGCUUCCACACCUUCUCGGCCGUAGCGAAAGUGUUAAGUGCUCCGCCUGGGGAGU